rnacentral:rRNA from 1 species
UGAGGAAUAUUGGUCAAUGGGCGAGAGCCUGAACCAGCCAAGUAGCGUGCAGGAUGACGGCCCUAUGGGUUGUAAACUGCUUUUAUGUGGGGAUAAAGUGCGUGACGUGUCAUGCAUUGCAGGUACCACAGGAAUAAGGACCGGCUAAUUCCGUGCCAGCAGCCGCGGUAAUACGGAAGGUCCGGGCGUUAUCCGGAUUUAUUGGGUUUAAAGGGAGCGUAGGCUGUCUAUUAAGCGUGUUGUGAAAUUUACCGGCUCAACCGGUGGCUUGCAGCGCGAACUGGUCGACUUGAGUAUGCAGGAAGUAGGCGGAAUUCAUGGUGUAGCGGUGAAAUGCUUAGAUAUCAUGACGAACUCCGAUUGCGCAGGCAGCUUACUGUAGCAUAACUGACGCUGAUGCUCGAAAGUGCGGGUAUCAAACAGG